UAACGCGUGAGGAACCUGCCUCAAAGAGGGGGACAACAGUUGGAAACGACUGCUAAUACCGCAUAAGCCCACGGGUCGGCAUCGACCAGAGGGAAAAGGAGCAAUCCGCUUUGAGAUGGCCUCGCGUCCGAUUAGCUAGUUGGUGAGGUAAUGGCCCACCAAGGCGACGAUCGGUAGCCGGACUGAGAGGUUGAACGGCCACAUUGGGACUGAGACACGGCCCAGACUCCUACGGGAGGCAGCAGUGGGGAAUAUUGCACAAUGGGGGAAGCCCUGAUGCAGCGACGCCGCGUGGAGGAAGAAGGUCUUCGGAUUGUAAACUCCUGUUGUUGAGGAAGAUAAUGACGGUACUCAACAAGGAAGUGACGGCUAACUACGUGCCAGCAGCCGCGGUAAAACGUAGGUCACAAGCGUUGUCCGGAAUUACUGGGUGUAAAGGGAGCGCAGGCGGGAAGACAAGUUGGAAGUGAAAUCUAUGGGCUCAACCCAUAAACUGCUUUCAAAACUGUUUUUCUUGAGUAGUGCAGAGGUAGGCGGAAUUCCCGGUGUAGCGGUGGAAUGCGUAGAUAUCGGGAGGAACACCAGUGGCGAAGGCGGCCUACUGGGCACCAACUGACGCUGAGGCUCGAAGGUGUGGGUAGCAAACAGGAUUAGAUACCCUGGUAGUCCACACCGUAAACGAUGAUUACUAGGUGU
rnacentral:rRNA from 1 species